GAUUCAGGAUAACUUAACGAGAUCGCAUGGCCUUGCGCCGGCGAUGGUUCAUUCAAAUUUCUGCCCUAUCAACUUUCGAUGGUAAGGUAUUGGCUUACCAUGGUUUCAACGGGUAACGGGGAAUUAGGGUUCUAUUCCGGAGAGGGAGCCUGAGAAACGGCUACCACAUCCAAGGAAGGCAGCAGGCGCGCAAAUUACCCAAUCCCGACGCGGGGAGGUAGUGACAAUAAAUACUGAUACAGGGCUCUUUUGGGUCUUGUAAUCGGAAUGAGUACAAUUUAAACCUCUUAACGAGGAACAAUUGGAGGGCAAGUCUGGUGCCAGCAGCCGCGGUAAUUCCAGCUCCAAUAGCGUAUAUUAAAGUUGUUGCAGUUAAAAAGCUCGUAGUUGAAUCUUGGGCCUGGCUGGCCGGUCCGCCUCACCGCGUGUACUGGUCUGGCCGGGCCUUUCCUUCUGGAGAACCUCAUGCCCUUCAGUGGGUGUGUUGGGGAACCAGGAUUUAAAA
rnacentral:rRNA from 1 species